GACGCAUAAGAGAUUACUUUGAUGCAGAUUAAAACUAACUCCUUUGAUUUUGCUUUUAAAACGAUCGCUUAAAAGAUGGAGCAAAAUUUGAAGAUGGUGUUCAUGGUCAUGUUAUUGCUUUCCAUGUCUGGUUUGUUUAUCUCAUCGGUUUUGGCUGACAAAGGCUCGUUAAUGUCCAACGAAUCGUGUGGUCCCAAUGGAACGCCAUGUGAAAGAAUGUGUCGAGUUGGCUUUCCUAGAUGUUGUAAUGAUGUUUGCGAGUGUUAUCCUUGCAAUUAAUUUUAAUAUUAUAUUUAAUAUCAUAAACAUAAAAGGAUGGUGUUUAAGUGUGUUUGUUCCCAAAAAAAUCUAUGAAAUAUAAAAUUCAUCCUGCGAAGGAUUUAUUAUUA